rnacentral:rRNA from 1 species
GACGAACGCUGGCGGCGUGCUUAACACAUGCAAGUCGAACGGGAGUAUUGAAGAAGCUUGCUUUAGAGAUACUUUAGUGGCGGACGGGUGAGUAACGCGUGAGGAGCUGUCCUAUGCAGGGGGACAACAGCUGGAAACGGCUGCUAAUACCCCAUAAGCCGAGAGGUAAAAGGAUCAAUCCGGCAGAGGAGGUACUCGCGUCCUAUCAGCUAGUAGGUGAGGUAACGGCUCACCUAGGCGAAGACGGGUAGCCGGCCUGAGAGGGCGAACGGCCACGACUGGAACUGAGAUACGGUCCAGACUCCUACGGGAGGCAGCAGUGGGGAAUAUUGGGCAAUGGGGGAAACCCUGACCCAGCGACGCCGCGUGGGUGAAGAAAUCCUUCGGGAUGUAAAGCCCUGUUGUAUGGGAAGAGCGGAAGACGGUACCAUACGAGGAAGCCCCGGCAAACUACGUG